rnacentral:lncRNA from 1 species
UGCUGAAGUCAUGUCUUGACAGAGGAUAAAUUCAUGCUUAAAGGAAAUACGAACAUGGACAUUUAUUGAUGACAUUAUAUUACUUCCUGACUUGUCUGCUGGUGGUCACAGAGUAGACUGAAUUGAGUCCAGGAAAGAAAGUUGAAGUACAAAUUCCUUAUGAAGUGUUGUACAGCUAUUAUGAAAUAUGAAGUUCUUGAAAUUUCAUCUUCAGGAGGAAACCUUGGUACAUGUCAUAAAUAAAUAACAAUAAGAAAUUAAGGAGAAGAGUUAUAUAUAAGUGCACUUUGGUAGUACAUACAUGUUCAACUAAGAAACAAACUUA